UACAGAGGGUGCGAGCGUUAAUCGGAAUUACUGGGCGUAAAGCGUGCGUAGACGGUUAUUUAAGUCGGGUGUGAAAGCCCCGGGCUCAACCUGGGAAUUGCAUUCGAGACUGAAUAGCUAGGGUACGGUAGAGGGAAGUGGAAUUUCCGGUGUAGCGGUGAAAUGCGUAGAUAUCGGGAGGAACACCAGUGGCGAAGGCGGUUACCUGGAGCUUUGCUGACGCUGAUGCGCGAAAGCGUGGGGAGCGAUCCGG
rnacentral:rRNA from 1 species